GUUAAACGCCGUUAACUUUUUAUCACAUGUUUGACCGUUCGUCUUAUUCAAAAAAUUUAAGUAAUUAUUAAUUCUUUUCCUAUCAUUUGAUUCAUUGUUAAAUAUAUUUUUAUAUAGGCAUAUAAUUUUACAUAUCUCACAAAGUUUUUGAAUAAGACGAACGGUCAAACAUGUGCUAAAAAGUUAACGGUGUCAAAUAUU
rnacentral:pre_miRNA from 1 species